UUGUCUCAAAGAUUAAGCCAUGCAUGUCUCAGUACAAGCCGAAUUAAGGUGAAACCGCGAAAGGCUCAUUAAAUCAGUUAUGGUUCCUUAGAUCGUACCCACAUUUACUUGGAUAACUGUGGUAAUUCUAGAGCUAAUACAUGCAAACAGAGCUCCAACCGGAAACGGAAGGAGCGCUUUUAUUAGAUCAAAACCAAUCGGUGGCGGUUUCUCCGUCAUCGUACAACUUGGUGACUCUGAAUAACUUUAAGCUGAUCGCACGGUCUCGCACCGGCGACGCAUCUUUCAAAUGUCUGCCUUAUCAACUGUCGAUGGUAGGUUCUGCGCCUACCAUGGUUGUAACGGGUAACGGGGAAUCAGGGUUCGAUUCCGGAGAGGGAGCCUGAGAAACGGCUACCACAUCCAAGGAAGGCAGCAGGCGCGCAAAUUACCCACUCCCGGCACGGGGAGGUAGUGACGAAAAAUAACGAUACGGGACUCAUCCGAGGCCCCGUAAUCGGAAUGAGUACACUCUAAACCCUUUAACGAGGAUCAAUUGGAGGG
rnacentral:rRNA from 1 species